UUCUUAUGGGAUGAUAAGAGUUACGUGUCAUGUUUUCAUUGAAUGUCAACUUCAUAAAAAUAAAAUGAAUUGUUGUUUGUUUUACAAAUCAAAACAUCACACGUAAUAAUGAUUAUCC
rfam:Glycine soja cultivar W05 scaffold2518_28, whole genome shotgun sequence.